GAACGGACCCUUCGGGGUUAGUGGCGGACGGGUGAGUAACACGUGGGAACGUGCCCUUAGCUUCGGAACAACCCAGGGAAACUUGGGCUAAUACCGGGUAUGCCCUUCGGGGGAAAGAUUUAUCGGCUUUGGAGCGGCCCGCGUCUGAUUAGCUAGUUGGUGGGGUAAUGGCCUACCAAGGCGACGAUCAGUAGCUGGUCUGAGAGGAUGACCAGCCACAUUGGGACUGAGACACGGCCCAAACUCCUACGGGAGGCAGCAGUGGGGAAUCUUGCGCAAUGGGCGAAAGCCUGACGCAGCCAUGCCGCGUGGAUGAUGAAGGUCUUAGGAUUGUAAAAUCCUUUCAGCGGGGACGAUAAUGACGGUACCCGCAGAAGAAGCCCCGGCUAACUUCGUG
rnacentral:rRNA from 1 species